rnacentral:rRNA from 1 species
UUUGAACGCACCUUGCGCUCCUUGGUAUUCCGAGGAGCAUGCCUGUUUGAGUGUCAUC